UGGGGAAUAUUGCACAAUGGGCGAAAGCCUGAUGCAGCAACGCCGCGUGAGGGACGACGGCCUUCGGGUUGUAAACCUCUUUAGCAAGGAAGAAGCGAAAGUGACGGUACUUGCAGAAAAAGCGCCGGCUAACUACGUGCCAGCAGCCGCGGUAAUACGUAGGGCGCAAGCGUUAUCCGGAAUUAUUGGGGCGUAAAGAGCUCGUAGGCGGUUUGUCGCGUCUGCUGUGAAAACCCGAGGCUCAACCUCGGGCCUGCAGUGGGUACGGGCAGACUAGAGUGCGGUAGGGGAGAUUGGAACUCCUGGUGUAGCGGUGGAAUGCGCAGAUAUCAGGAAGAACACCGAUGGCGAAGGCAGAUCUCUGGGCCGUAACUGACGCUGAGGAGCGAAAAGGGU
rnacentral:rRNA from 1 species